rnacentral:rRNA from 1 species
UACGUAGGGGGCAAGCGUUGUUCGGAAUUACUGGGCGUAAAGCGCGUGUAGGCGGCUUUGCAAGUCGGAUGUGAAAGCCCAUGGCUCAACCGUGGAAGUGCAUCCGAAACUGCAUGGCUUGAGUCUCGGAGAGGAAGGUGGAAUGCUUGGUGUAGAGGUGAAAUUCGUAGAUAUCAAGCAGAACACCUGCGGCGAAGGCGGCCUUCUGGACGAUGACUGACGCUGAGACGCGAAAGCGUGGGGAGCAAACAGG